rnacentral:rRNA from 1 species
GAGUUUGAUCCUGGCUCAGGAUGAACGCUGGCGGCGUGCUUAACACAUGCAAGUCGAGCGAAGCACUUUUUUAGAACUCUUCGGAGGGAAGAGAGGGUGACUUAGCGGCGGACGGGUGAGUAACGCGUGGGCAACCUGCCUUACACAGGGGGAUAACAAUUAGAAAUGAUUGCUAAUACCGCAUAAGACCCCGGUACCGCAUGGUACAGAGGUAAAAACUGAGGUGGUGUAAGAUGGGCCCGCGUCUGAUUAGGUAGUUGGUGGGGUAGAAGCCUACCAAGCCGACGAUCAGUAGCCGACCUGAGAGGGCGACCGGCCACAUUGGGACUGAGACACGGCCCAAACUCCUACGGGAGGCAGCAGUGGGGAAUAUUGCACAAUGGGGGAAACCCUGAUGCAGCGACGCCGCGUGAGUGAGGAAGUAUUUCGGUAUGUAAAGCUCUAUCAGCAGGGAAGAAAAUGACGGUACCUGACUAAGAAGCCCCGGCUAACUACGUGCCAGCAGCCGCGGUAAUACGUAGGGGGCAAGCGUUAUCCGGAUUUACUGGGUGUAAAGGGAGCGUAGACGGAUAAGCAAGUCUGAUGUGAAAAUCCGGGGCCCAACCCCGGAAUUGCAUUGGAAACUGCAUAUCUAGAGUGUCGGAGAGGCAA